CUGCGUUCCAGAUGUUUUUCCAGCUGUUUUUCCAGCUGUGUUCCAGCUGUUUUCCCCAGCUGCGUUCCAGAUGUUUUUCCAGCUGUUUUUCCAGCUGUGUUCCAGCUGUUUUUUCCAGCUGUUUUUCCAGCUGCGUUCCAGAUGUUUUUCCAGCUGUUUUUCCAGAUGUUUUUCCAGAUGUUUUUUCCAGCUGUGUUCCAGAUGUUUUUCCAGCUGUUUUCCAGCUGUUUUUCCAGCUGUGUUCCAGAUGUUUUUUCCAGCUGUGAUCCAGAUGUUUUUCCAGCUGUUUUUUCCAGCUGUUCUUUCCAGAUGUUUUUCCAGCUGUGUUCCAGCUGGUUUUUUUCCAGCUGUGAUCCAGAUGUUUUCCAGAUGUUCCUUCCAGAUGUUUUCCCAGCUGUUCCCAGCUGUUUCCUCCAGAUGUUGUUCCAGCUGUGUUCCAGAUGUUUUUUCCCGCUGUCGUUCUCCAGCUGUCCCCCAGCUGUUCCCCAGCUGUUGUUCCCCCGCUGUCGUUCCCCAGCUGUUCUCCAGCUGUUGUUCUCCAGCUGUUGUUCCCCCGCUGUCGUUCUCCAGCUGUUCCCCAGCUGUUCUCCAGCUGUUGUUCCCCCGCUGUCGUUCCCCAGCUGUUCGAGUACCGCUGGGUGCAGGGUCCCCUGCUGGACAAUUCCAGCCGCAGAUUCCCGGGCUGUGUCCGAUCCGGCGCCCGCCUGGCCCCGGCGCUGUCCCCGGCCUUCGAGCUGCGCCGCUGGGAUUCCCGGGAAUUCUCCACCUGGACCGAGAGCCGCUGGAAGGAGAUCCGGGCUCGCCUCUUCCUGGUGGCCAGCAGGGAGCUGGAGGUGCCGCGGGGAUCCUUCCCCAAUUCCCUGAUUCCCGGAAUUCCCCAAAUUCCCAAAUCUCCGAUCCUCAAAAUCCCAAAUUUCCCAGCCCCAGAUCCCAAACUCCCGAUCCCAAAUUCCCCCAAUUCCCCCAUUCCAAAUCCCCUCCAAAAUCCCGGAAUUCCCAAAUCCCCAGCCCCAAUUCCCAAUGCCCAAAUUCCCAAUUUCCCAGCCCCAGAUCCCAAACUCCCAAUCCCAAAUUCCCAAUGCCCAAUUCCCCCAAUUCCCCCAUUCCAAAUCCCCUUCAAAUCCCAGAAUUCCCAAAUCCCCAAACCUUCAAAUCCCCAAAUCCCAAAUCCCCCAAAUCCCAGAAUUCCCAAAUCCCCAAUUCCCCAAAUCCUGGAAUUCCCAAAUCCCCAAAUCAAAAACCUCCAAAUCCCCAAAUCCCCCAAUCCCAAAUCCCCC
rnacentral:lncRNA from 1 species